GGAGGGGGCAAGCGUUGUUCGGAUUUACUGGGCGUAAAGGGUGCGUAGGCGGCCGGGUAAGUCUGGCGUGAAAUCUUCACCGCUCAACGGGAAGAGGUCGCUGGAAACUGCUCGGCUUGAGUAUGGUAGAGGCAAGCGGGAUUCCUGGUGUAGCGGUGGAAUGUGUAGAUAUCAGGAAGAACACCUGUGGCGAAGGCGGCUUGCUGGGCCAUCACUGACGCUGAGGCACGAAAGCGUGGGGAGCGAACGGGAUUAGAUACCCCGGUAGUCCACGCCUUAAACGGUGGAUACUAGGUAUGGGGGGUAUCGACCCUCUCCGUGCCGAAGCUAACGCCUUAAGUAUCCCGCCUGGGGACUACGGCCGCAAGGCUA
rnacentral:rRNA from 1 species